UCUCUCUCUCUCUCUCUCUCUCUCAUGCAAUCGGUGUUCUGCAGCCAUGGUGUGGCUGGCUUCUCUUUUGCCUUAUCAUAGUACGCAUUUGAGCCUCAAUUUGCUGAAGAUCAUAGUUUUGCUGGUAAGGCCAAGAUUUCUUGCUGGAAGAGAUUAACAGUUCGUUUGCUCUUUUCUGCAACUCUAGCUUCAGAAGAUGCACGUUGUUGAUUUUUUGCUGCUACUGCUACUGAUUCUCUUGUCUUGCUGCGGCGUGGCUGCAUUAACACCUUAACAGCGAGAAUCAUACUAGAAAUAAAGAAAAAGGUGAAAAAUUGAGGCAGCGCUGAUAUGGUUUGGCAAAUAGCAUUAUUAAUUUGCAUUGAGAUGAUACAAGACUCAGUAUCUUGACGGGCAAUCUGGAGAAGGUUGCAGCCAAUAAUAGAGAGAUCUGAACCUGGUAUUAAGCAUUACUAGUAGUUUCCAAUUCCUUUUUUUGGUUAUUGUUUCUCUUUUUCCAAUAUUGCUAAGAGAGUUGCAAUUCUUUUGACAUAUUUUCCGCGUCUUUGUAAGUAGUGCUCGUUUUUUUAAAAACAAAAAUUCUGUUCUAAAAGAGGCAAGAGAUGUGGAAAUACAGCGAUUAUGCAUCACUCUCCUGCCAAUGGAUGCCAGAUUUUUGUUUUCAUGCCCAUAUUUUUCAAUUUCAUAGUAUUAGAGAACAUUUGCUUUCUGAAGCUUA